GCCCUCACUGGCCUCCAAGUUUUCUAGGAUGAUGCAAUGUCCAGCCAUCAACACAUUUGUGAAGGAAUUUUUACUCCCCAAAAGAGCGCCCCCCCAUGGCAGGAGAAAAAAGUCCAUUUUUUCUUGUCCCCUAAGGUGAAAAUACAUAUUGUUGAGAUUCACGCCUAUACGCUUUGUCAUAUUGACACAAAAUUUGACAAUCACGUGCCUUGCCUGGUAUCAUUUUUUUUCAGCACAACCUCACCUGUGCGAAUUUACAGUUAUUUUAUCAUGUUGACAUACUGAAUUUACACAAUGGACCCAAAUUCACACACAAAACAUAAAAUCCGAGUGGAAAAAAGUAACAUUUUUACUGUGAAAACCACAAAUAUGUGUGAUGAACUGUUUUUAAAACUUAAACUUCAAAUAAAAAUUGUAAACUUCAAAACAUAUGCAAAUUUUUAACAAAGAACAUAGUGAUUUACCUCUAUUUACAUCAAAAUGCAGGCAAUGGCCCAGGCGUUCUUUGUAAAAUUAUUUACAAAACACUGUAUAGUCUCACAAAUGUCACUUUUUAUUUAUGCCACUACAAAAAAACAUGAUGUAAAUGAUGCAUGAUGUAAAACAUGAUGUAAAAAACUUGUGUAGAUCCUCCUCUAUGUCAGUCCAUGUGUAAUUUUUCCAUAAUUCUUUGAUUUUUGCAGCAUUUUUGUUAGUGUAACUGCAGAUUGUGCUGACAGUGUCUAUGGCACAAAAAAAAAAAAAUUAAAAUGCCUCAACAUGAACCCCUGGUGGUCUCUGAGGGUGAAACCUGCUAACUGCUGCAGCUCUGUCAGCUUCAGUCUCCCAUGCAGAGCUCUGAGCGCAUGUGUGGCUCUGCACCCUUAGCAGCGUUGCUAACUCCUCAGUAAGGAAAGCCUGCUUCAUGUCAGAGUCUCUAAACUCCAGAAGAAGUCGAUAAAAGUCCCUUUCUUUCUAAAAAAAAGUCGUUAGGGGGUCUGAAAAGUCAUUGAAUCUAACAACAAAGUCGCUAGGUUUGCAACUACGUGUCCCAGACUGCAUCCCUGCUGAGAGUCCCUCCCUCCCUUCUCAUGUUGCAGGAAGAACGUAAGCGCCCGCCCCUUGUCAAUCAGUCACCAUAUAAUUUUGGAUUGGUUGUUGUGGUGAAGUUUUCCACCAAUAGGAGAGAUGUUGUGGUGUGUUUUUUUUUUUCUUUUGGCAAGCCUUUUCCGCCUGUAAGACCUGUCGCUAAUGUCUGCAUGCUAUGUUUUCCUGUCUCAUACAGCGCGAUCGAGCGCCGAACGUGAUCAAAAUAAGCAGAAAAAAAGUAUCGCGGACAUAAUUUAUCAUAACUCUGGUUUUAUUUGGCCUAUCAACACAAUUUAAAAACUGGUAUAUAGGUUGAGGUCCUCACUUUUGAGAUAAGUUGAAACGGAGAGUCAACGAGGCUCCGUCUUGCAGCUACAUCCGGUUAAAUAUGUCAUGUGACUUGAACGCACACACAGACACACACACACGCACACACACACACACACACACACACACACACACACUCAGAGUCUGGUUUUUAGCACCUGCAAAAACAUGCUAUUUACAUAUUUGACAAGAAUGCAGAGGCUCCUUUUGCCCCUGAAAAAAAUCAAAUUUCAAACACAACUUGACUGGUCAUUUCUCCAAAAGACAACCAUGAAGCUCCAUCCAAACCUGAAGCAGGCAGUUGGUGCAUGUGUACAGUAACCUGAGGGGAGUGAGGUGAGUGCUUCUGAGGAGAACAUGAGCAGUGAAGAUUCACCUUGGAGCUAGAACAGAGACAUGCACAUGAUUAUACAGGGGCAGGGGCUCAAGUUUUUUCCAGUCGUUUAUACAAUAUGGAAAUUAAUGUGAAAUUAAAACACAAAGUAUUAAUAGAAAGGUAAUGACUGUCCUGUGUAGGUGACAGUGAUAUCGAAUAGGCUAGGCACUCACGAGGCUGGCUGUGGCAAGUGUAAGUGAAAGCAACACACACUGGCAGGAAGAACAGCAAACGCCGAUAAAGGAAAAGGGUCUUUGCAGUGAUGGGCGUUACCAGAGAGGGCGAUGGCCAGAGGACACAAAUGGGACGGGGAGGCAGCACGUUGGGGGGGGGGGGGGGGGGGCGACACAGCUCGGGCCCGCCAGUGCCCCAACGGGGUCCUAGUUCUUUCUUUCUUUUCCUCCCCUUUGAACUGGAAAAUGGCCCACUUCCCACUGGCGAAAACUCAUGAAAUUUGGCAGGACGACCGGGCCUGGUGAAAAAUUCGAUAUUCUGAAGUCGCCCAAACAAUAAAAUGCAAAAUGGCUCCAUAGCGCCCCCUAAGGUGGAAAUUCACACUAUUGACUGUCACGCCUGUACGCUUUGUCAUAUUGACACAAAAAUUGACACACAUAUGUAUCUCAAUAAGAUCUACAAAAAAGUCAGUGCGGGCGUAUCUGUCAAAUGUACGGUUAAAGGGUUAUUUCGCAUUUUUUGCCGAUCCGCACACAUUGGAAUUUCGCUAACUCCUCCGAAGGCUUUCGUUCCACCGGCACCACAUUUGCUCAGGCCAAUCUACACCCCAUGGCCAUUAAAAGUUAUUCAAAUCAUGAUGCUGCACCCCACGGUUUAGGUUCUAGGGGGCGCCAAAGAUAACCCUAUAAUCCACAUAUUUAAAAGUCUUAUAACUUUUUAUUUUUGCCCUCACUGGCCUACAAGUUUUCUAGGAUGAUGCAAUGUCCAGCCAUCAACACAUUUGUGAAGGAAUUUUUACUCCCCAAAAGAGCGCCCCCCCAUGGCAGGAGAAAAAAGUCCAUUUUUUCUUGUCCCCUAAGGUGAAAAUACACAUUGUUGAGUGUCACGCCUGUACUCUUUGUCAAAAUACCACAAAAAUUGAAACACACAUGUAUCUCAAUAAGAUCUACAAAAAAGUCCACGCGCGCGUAUCUGUCAAAUGUACGGUUAAAGGGUUAUUCCGCAUUUUUUGCCAAUUCGCACACAUUGGAAUUUCGCUAACUCCUCCGAAGGCUUUCGUUCCACCGGCACCACAUUUGUUCAGGGCCAAAUUACACCCCAUGGCCAUUAAAAGUUUUUUAAAUCAUGACGCUGCACCCCACGGUUUACGUUCUAGGGGGCGCCAAAGAUAACCCAAAAAUCCACAUUUUUAAAAGUCUUAUAACUUUUUAUUUUUGUCCUCACUGGCCUCCAAGUUUUCUAGGAUGAUGCAAUGUCCAGCCAUCAACACAUUUGUGAAGGAAUUUUUACUCCCCAAAAGAGCGCCCCCCCAUGGCAGGAGAAAAAAGUCCAUUUUUUCUUGUCCCCUAAGGUGAAAAUACACAUUGUUGAGUGUCACGCCUGUACUCUUUGUCAAAAUACCACAAAAAUUGAAACACACAUGUAUCUCAAUAAGAUCUACAAAAAAGUCCACGCGCGCGUAUCUGUCAAAUGUACGGUUAAAGGGUUAUUCCGCAUUUUUUGCCAAUUCGCACACAUUGGAAUUUCGCUAACUCCUCCGAAGGCUUUCGUUCCACCGGCACCACAUUUGUUCAGGGCCAAAUUACACCCCAUGGCCAUUAAAAGUUUUUUAAAUCAUGACGCUGCACCCCACGGUUUACGUUCUAGGGGGCGCCAAAGAUAACCCAAAAAUCCACAUUUUUAAAAGUCUUAUAACUUUUUAUUUUUGUCCUCACUGGCCUCCAAGUUUUCUAGGAUGAUGCAAUGUCCAGCCAUCAACACAUUUGUGAAGGAAUUUUUACUCCCUAAAAGAGCGCCCCCCCAUGGCAGGAGAAAAAAGUCCAUUUUUUCUUGUCCCCUAAGGUGAAAAUACACAUUGUUGACUGUCACGCCUUUACGCUUUGUCAUAUUGACAAAAAAUUUGACAAUCACGUGUAUCUCAAUAAGAUCUAUGAAAAAGUCAAUGGGCACGUAAGUGUAAAAUGUACAGUUAAAGGGCUAUUUUGCAUUUUUUGGCGAUUCGCACACAUUGGAAUUUCGCUAAGUCCUCCUAAGGCUUUCGUCCCACUGACACCAAAUUUGCUCAGGCCAAUCUACACUCCAUGGCCAUUCAAAGUUGUAAAAAUCAUGACGCUGCACCCCACGGUUUACGUUUUAGGGUGCGCCAAAGAUGACCCAAAUAUACAUUACAGUAGACAAAGUAGUUUUGCCCACUGAGUGGCGCCAAAGGGACUUGUCUGUGGAGUCUGUGAGUCACUAUUGGCCGUUUUUGACUACUUUAGAUUUUACCUUUAUAUUUCCUCUUACAAAAUUUUUAACCUUGCCUUGCCUGGUAUCAUUUUUUUCAGCACAACCUCACCUGUGUCAAUUUACAGUUAUUUUAUCAUUUUGACAUACUAUAUUUACACAUUGGACCCAAAUUCACACACAAAACAUAAAAUCCGAGUGGAAAAAAGUAACGUUUUUACUGUGAAAACCACAAAUAUGUGUGAUGAACUGUUUUUAAAACUUUAACUUCAAAUAAAAAUUGUAAACUUCAAAACAUAUGCAAAUUUUUAACAAAGAACAUAGUGAUUUACCUCUAUUUACAUCAAAAUGCAGGCAAUGGCCCAGGUGUUCUUUGUAAAAUUAUUUACAAAACACUGUAUAGUCUCACAAAUCUCACUUUUUAUUUAUGCCACUACAAAAAAACAUGAUGUAAAUGAUGCAUGAUGUAAAACAUGAUGUAAAAAACUUGUGUAGAUCCUCCUCUAUGUUAGUCCAUGUGUAAUUUUUCCAUAAUUCUUUGUUUUUUGCAGCAUUUUUGUUAGUGUAACUGCAGAUUGUGCUGACAGUGUCUAUGGCAAAAAAAAAAAAAAAAAAACUGAAAAUGCCUCAACAUGAACCCCUGGUGGUCUCUGAGGGUGAAACCUGCUAACUGCUGCAGCUCUGUCAGCUUCAGUCUCCCAUGCAGAGCUCGGAGCGCAUGUGUGGCUCUGCACCCUUAGCAGCGUUGCUAACUCCUCAGUAAGGAAAGCCUGCUUCAUGUCAGAGUCUCUAAACUCCAGAACUCCAGAAGAAGUCGAUAAAAGUCCCUUUCUUUCUAAAAAAAAGUCAUUAGGGGGUCUGAAAAGUCAUUGAAUCUAACAACAAAGUCGCUAGGUUUGAAACUACGUGUCCCAGACUGCAUCCCUGCUGAGAGUCCCUCCUCCCUCCUUCUCAAGUUGCAGGAAGAACGCGAGCGCCCAUCCCGUGUCAAUCAGUCACCAUAUAAUUUUGGAUUGGUUGUUGUGGUGAAGUUUUCCACCAAUAGGAGAGAUGUUGUGGUGUGUUUUUUUCUUUUCUUUUGGCAAGUCUUUUCCGCCUGUAAGAGCUGUCGCUAAUGUCUGCAUGCUAUGUUUUCCUGUCUCAUACAGCGCGAUCGAGCGCCGAACGUGAUCAAAAUAAGCAGAAAAAAAGUAUUGCGGACAUAAUUUAUCAUAACUCUGGUUUUAUUUGGCCUAUCAACACAAUUUAAAAACUGGUAUAUAGUUUGAGGUCCUCACUUUUAAGAUAGGUUGAAACGGAGAAUCAACGAGGCUCCGUCUUGCAGCUACAUCCGGUUAAAUAUGUCAUGUGACUUGAACGCUGGGGAGCGUCAAUCGAAUCGAAUCAAACCUAACUCUCAGAUGAAUCUUCAAAAUUCACCUCAGAAAUAUGCUUAUUAUUCUUCUCAGAGUACUGCAGGAUACACACACACACGCACACACACUCAGAGUCUGUUUUUUAGCACCUGCAAACACAUGCUAUUUACAUAUUUGACAAGAAUGCAGAGGCUUUCUUUUGCCUCUGAAAAAAAUCAAAUUUCAAACACAACUUGACUGGUCAUUUCUCCAAAAGACAACCAUGAAGCUCCAUCCAAACCUGAAGCAGGCAGUUGGUGCAUGUGUACAGUAACCUGAGGGGAGUGAGGUGACUGCUUCUGAGGAGAACAUGAGCAGUGAAGAUUCACCUUGGAGCUAGAACAGGGACGUGCACAUGAUUAUACAGGGGCAGGGGCUCAAGUUUUUUCCAGUCGUUUAUACAAUAUGGAAAUUAAUGUGAAAUUAAAAAACAAAGUAUUAAUAGAAAGGUAAUGACUGUCCUGUGUAGGUGACAGUGAUAUCCAAUAGGCUAGGCACUCACGAGGCUGGCUGUGGCAAGUGUAAGUGAAAGCAACACGCACUGGCAGGAAGAACAGCAAACGCCAAUGAAGGAAAAGGGUCUUUGCAGUGAUGGGCGUUACCAGAGAGGGCGAUGGCCAGAGGACGCGAAUGGGACGGGGAGGCAGCGCGUUGGGGGGGGCGCGACACGGCUCGGGCCCGCCAGUGCCCCAACGGGGCCCUAGUUAGGGCCCGAGCGUAGCUGCUAAGCAGCUGCGAGAGCCCUCUUGUUCCUGUAGUUUCCUUCUUUUGUUAUUAUUAUUAUUUUUCCUCCCCUUUGAACUGGAAAAUGGCCCACUUCCCACUGGCGAAAACUCAUGAAAUUUGGCAGGACGACCGGGCCUGGUGAAAAAUUUGAUAUUCCGAAGUCGCCCAAACAAGAAAAUGCAAAAUGGCUCCAUAGCGCCCCCUAAGGUGAAAAUUCACACUAUUGACUGUCACGCCGGUACACUUUGUCAUAUUGACACAAAAUUUGACACACACAUGUAUCUCAAUAAGAUUUACAAAAAAGUCAGUGCGGGCGUAUCUGUAAAAUGUACGGAUAAAGGGUUAUUUCGCAUUUUUUGCCGAUCCGCACACAUUGGAAUUUCGCUAACUCCUCCGAAGGCUUUCGUUCCACCGGCACCACAUUUGCUCAAGCCAAUCUACACCCCAUGGCCAUUAAAAGUUAUUCAAAUCAUGACGCUGCACCCCACGGUUUAGGUUCUAGGGGGCGCCAAAGAUAACCCUAAAAUCCACAUAUUUAAAAGUCUUAUAACUUUUUAUUUUUGCCCUCACUGGCCUCCAGGUUUUCUAGGAUGAUGCAAUGUCCAGCCAUCAACACAUUUGUGGAGGAAUUUUUACUCCCCAAAAGAGCGCCCCCCCAUGGCAGGAGAAAAAAGUCCAUUUUUUCUUGUCCCCUAAGGUGAAAAUACACAUUGUUGAGUGUCACGCCUGUACGCUUUGUCAAAAUGACACAAAAAUUGACACACACAUGUAUCUCAAUAAGAUCUACAAAAA